rnacentral:rRNA from 1 species
AGAGAGAGACAUGCGCGCAUAUCAAUAAGCGGAGGAAAAGAAACUAACUAGGAUUCCCUCAGUAACGGCGAGUGAAGCGGGAAGAGCUCAAAUUUGAAAUCUUCAAGGUUCCUACCUUGACGAAUUGUAGUUUAAAGAAGUGUUUUCUGUUGGAGUUUUGGUAAAAGUUCUUUGGAAUAGGACAUCAUAGAGGGUGAGAAUCCCGUAUUUGACCAUUAUUUCCAGCUUUGUGAUACACUUUCAAAGAGUCGGAUUGUUUGGGAAUGCAGUCCAAAAUGGGUGGUAAAUUUCAUCUAAAGCUAAAUAUUGGCGAGAGACCGAUAGCGAACAAGUACCGUGAGGGAAAGAUGAAAAGAACUUUGAAAAGAGAGUUAAACAGUACGUGAAAUUGUCAAAAGGGAAGCGUUUGACACCAGUGUUGUUUUCUCGAAAAUCAAUUAAAAAAGGCAGGAUUUUGUGUUGUAUUGACUUUAUCAGCUUUCUGCACUCUUUUCUUGUCUUUUUUAAUGCACUUUUCGUUUAACAAGUCAACAUCAAUUUCUUUUGUUGUAAAAGGGUCAUUGGAAGGUGGCUUUCUUUUCGGAGAAAGUGUUUAUAGCCUUUGGCCUCUGCAAUCGGAGAGAUUGAGGUCUGCAGCGUAGAUCCUUCGGGGUUAGAUACAUUUGUGCUAAGUUAUAGCCUUUCAUAGACAACUUGUUGACUAUGAUCAGUCAUGUAGCUUACUCGCUUAUGCUAUUUUACCUACGCUUAGGAUGUUGAUGUGAUACUGCGAGCA